rnacentral:rRNA from 1 species
CGCUAUCACUCUACGGGGAGGCAGCAGUAGGGAAUCUUCACAAUGGGCGCAAGCCUGAUGGAGCAACACCGCGUGAGUGAAGAAGGGUUUCGGCUCGUAAAGCUCUGUUGUUAAAGAAGAACACGUAUGAGAGUAACUGUUCAUACGUUGACGGUAUUUAACCAGAAAGUCACGGCUAACUACGUGCCAGCAGCCGCGGUAAUACGUAGGUGGCAAGCGUUAUCCGGAUUUAUUGGGCGUAAAGAGAGUGCAGGCGGUUUUCUAAGUCUGAUGUGAAAGCCUUCGGCUUAACCGGAGAAGUGCAUCGGAAACUGGAUAACUUGAGUGCAGAAGAGGGUAGUGGAACUCCAUGUGUAGCGGUGGAAUGCGUAGAUAUAUGGAAGAACACCAGUGGCGAAGGCGGCUACCUGGUCUGCAACUGACGCUGAGACUCGAAAGCAUGGGUAGCGAACAGGAUUAGAUACCCUGGUAG